rnacentral:rRNA from 1 species
UUGGAUUUUAGUGAGAUUUCAGAAAUAGGUCGGGUUAGAAAUAACUCUUGUACUUGUUUCAUCUUACUUGAUUUACUGGUUACUCGACUCUGUUCUUUAUUGAAUGGAGUAGUAUCGCAAGGUAUCAUUAGAAGUUAAAUUGCCUGUAGAGGUAGAGUUAGGGUAAAACUUGAUUUGAAAACUAUGGGAUUACAGUUUAAUUUUUAAUGGGGUUCCAGUUCAUUUACUUUGAGUAAAUUAGAGUGUUCAAAGCAGCCUCUUGGGGCAUUGAAUAUUAUUAGCAUGGGAUAAUAAAAUAGGAUUUCUCUUAUAUUUUAUUGGUAGUAUAUUUAAGUUGAAAUAAUGAUUAAUAGGGAUAGUUGGGGGCACUUGUAUUCAAUAGUCAGAGGUGAAAUUCUAGGAUUUAUUGAAGACAAACUUCAGCGAAAGCAUUUGUCCAAGGAUGUUUUCAUUAAU